GCUCGCGGCGCUCCGGGCAGCCGUGACGUCAGGCGCGCCGCAGCUUUUCUCUCUCCCAGUGGCAGGUGCGGUGCAUCUGGUGCGGUCUCAUCUAGUCGGAUCAGGUCUCUACCAAACCAGUGCCCUACGGGUUCGAGAAGAGGAGAGGUACAUUCUGCAGGUCCCUGAUGAACCCAGGGAACCCUCCACCGUAUCCGGGCCCUGGUCCGACGGCCCCGUACCCACCUUAUCCACCACAACCAAUGGGACCAGAAGGCUACCCUCCAGGACCUAUGGGGGGACCCUACCCACCUCCCCAGGGGUACCCCUACCAAGGAUACCCACAGUAUGGCUGGCAGGGCGGACCUCAGGAGCCUCCUAAAACCACAGUGUAUGUGGUGGAAGACCAAAGAAGGGAUGACCUGGGCCCAUCCACCUGCCUCACAGCCUGCUGGACUGCGCUCUGUUGCUGCUGUCUCUGGGACAUGCUCACCUGACCAGCCCAGCCUCCCUGUCCUGCCAGCUCUGCCACCACCUUCAGCAGGUGGGCCUGCCCCAUCUCUUCUGAUUGCUGAAAUCAAGGAAAAUGACUAGCUCUGCACAGACACUUCUACCUUCGACACAGUGGGAUUCUAGAUUAGCAGGGGUUGCGCUGCUGUUUAAUUCAGUGACUCUAUCUUUUUAAUGUUUAAAAUCCAUUUCUUAUUGGCCUUUCACAAAUGUGCUAAAUGACUUUUAUUUUUUUGGCCAAAGGCUUAUAAAAUAUAUAUUUAUAAUUUUAAAAUUAUACAUUCAAGGUAGUGACAUGAUGUAAUACCACUGAAUGAAUGAUUUCUCUGCUAACACCCUGUAUGUUUCAAUAAAUUUGUGUAAACCUCAA